AAUUGCAGGAGUGGUGCGGCGCCAUCCUGUAGCACAAAUCAUGCGAAGAAUGAUGGGUGGUGUAAUCCCAUGUUAGCUAUAGUGCUAGACUGAUUUCAGAAACUCUUGGAGCUCAUCUUUUGGCCUGAAACACCAAGAACUAACCUGCCACAACACUGACUACUGAUUAAUACAAUGGAGUUCAUUUGAUCCAUCUGAUAAAAUACCUAUUGGGGAAUAAGCAUGAAAAGUAAUCACCCACUCUUUCCGCAGUGGAAUUCGGCCAUGAUGUUAAGAAGUUCAGUGUAGGCAGGAAAAAAAAUCUUUAUACUGUAGAGGAGUAUGUUCAUAUGGUCAAGGAUGGUAUCAUCGACCCUGUGAAAGUGAUCCAAACUACACUUCAAAAUGCAGCAAGAACAAGUACUCUGAUGAUGGCAAGAAGCAUAAUGUUAAAUGAACUGCGUAAUGUUGAGGUUGAUGAUAGCUUGCUUGUUGUACAAAGCCAUGAAACUGGAUUCAGAAAUAAGAAAUGGUCGCUUCGACGACGGCGGUGGCGGGCACCGUGGCGUGGAUGAUGGUGAUCCCCUCGGCGGCGGCGAUCCGCAGCAGGUCAUGCUGGCUCUGCUCGCCGGAUGAAUUGACCCCCUUCCGCCGCCCUACGCCCCACCAGCUCGGCAUUCACCUCCACCGACGCCCUACUAGCACACGAACUUCACCAGAAUUCACUUGCAAGAGAUUAAUGUGUUUGGGGAACUAUAUAUUGGAAAAGUGUGUAUUUUUGGAAGAGAAUAUAUAAUUGAUGCAACAUAUA